AAAGUCGUAACAAGGUCUCCGUUGGUGAACCAGCGGAGGGAUCAUUACAGAGUCUAUACAACUCGCUAAACCAUUGUGAACCAUUACCUUACCGUUGCCUCGGCGGGAGGCACCCCGUCGCCCCUGUAAUAGGUGGCUAUAGGGUGCCCCUGGACCCCCCCGGGGCGCCCGCCGAAGGAAUUCCAGAACCCCUGUCACCAUGUGCCUCUCUGAGUACGUACCGAAUAAGUCAAAACUUUCAACAACGGAUCUCUUGGUUCUG
rnacentral:misc_RNA from 1 species